rfam:Rhynchosporium commune strain TK7 genome assembly, contig: RCO7_scaffold032
AGCAAUUUAGCACAGAGGAAGCGCGUGGGGCUCAUAUCCCCAAGGUCCCUGGAUCAAAACCAGGAAUUGCUA